GGUUAAGUUACAAAGGGCGCACGGUGGAUGCCUUGGCACUAGGAGCCGAUGAAGGACGGAACUAAUACCGAUAUGCUUCGGGGAGCUAUAAGUAAGCUUUGAUCCGGAGAUUUCCGAAUGGGGGAACCCAGUACACAUCAGUGUAUUGCCUGCAAGUGAAUACAUAGCUUGUUGGCGGCAGACGCGGGGAACUGAAACAUCUCAGUACCCGCAGGAAGAGAAAGAAAACUCGAUUCCCAUAGUAGCGGCGAGCGAAGUGGGAAGAGCCCAAACCGAGAAGCUUGCUUCUCGGGGUUGUAGGACUGGACAUUGGAGUUACCAAAGUUCGACGUAGUCGAAGUCAGCUGGAAAGCUGCGCCAUAGAAGGUGAAAGCCCUGUAAACGAAACGGCGGACUCUCCGUCCAGGAUCCUGAGUACGGCGGAACACGUGAAAUUCCGUCGGAAUCCGGGAGGACCAUCUCCCAAGGCUAAAUACUCCCUAGUGACCGAUAGUGAACCAGUACCGUGAGGGAAAGGUGAAAAGCACCCCGGAAGGGGAGUGAAACAGUUCCUGAAACCGUGUGCCUACAAUUAGUCAAAGCCCGUUAACGGGUAAUGGCGUGCCUUUUGUAGAAUGAACCGGCGAGUUACGUUUGCCUGCGAGGUUAAGAUGAAAAGUCGGAGCCGGAGCGAAAGCGAGUCUGAACAGGGCGCUUCAGUAGGUAGAUGUAGACCCGAAACCAAGUGACCUACCCAUGACCAGGUUGAAGGUGUGGUGAAACACACUGGAGGACCGAACCCAUGUAUGUUGAAAAAUGCUGGGAUGAGUUGUGGGUAGCGGUGAAA
rnacentral:rRNA from 1 species